AGUGUCCUGUGCUGGGUGUGGUGGGAAAGACCUGGUUUCUCCUUUGGUUAGGGUGCCCUGGACUUGGCCCCGAGGCAAGGGCUCUGCUCAUUUAUCUUCUCCCACACAGGGAUCCUCUGGGAGGAGCGGCUGGUCAGGGACCAGACUGGGUACAGCCUAGCAGGCUGCUGUCCAGGGAGGGAACUGUCAUCAAUGACGACGGUGCGUUGCUGUUACACACCGCUGCUCUGCCGCCUCGGUUACGUGGGUGAUGGCCAGGCAGUGAGGCGUCUCAGAGGAAGGAGAUGGAGACAUAUUGAUGAAACACCUCCUCCUGCCAACUCCAGGGGCCCCAGUGGACUGGAAGGACCUGGCUGCAGGCCCUCACGUACCCAUGGCCACUACAUGAGCACUGCUGGUCCAUUGCCACCGUGUCCCUCCUGGUUCCAGCCCCACCCUCACUGGCACCUUGGACUCCAGCGGGUUGAAAAUUUCCAAGAUUUCUCAGGUUCUUUAUCACUUCUGGGUCUCUGUGUGGGCUGCCCCCCAUCUGGAAUAAAGCCUUCUACCCAC
rnacentral:lncRNA from 1 species